rnacentral:rRNA from 1 species
AUGGUCUUAGCUUGCUAAGGCCGAUGGCGACCGGCGCACGGGUGAGUAACACGUAUCCAACCUGCCGUCUACUCUUGGACAGCCUUCUGAAAGGAAGAUUAAUACAAGAUGGCAUCAUGAGUCCGCAUGUUCACAUGAUUAAAGGUAUUCCGGUAGACGAUGGGGAUGCGUUCCAUUAGAUAGUAGGCGGGGUAACGGCCCACCUAGUCUUCGAUGGAUAGGGGUUCUGAGAGGUUAACCCCCACACUGGUACUGAGACACGGACCAGACUCC